rnacentral:rRNA from 1 species
GAUGAACGCUGGCGGCGUGCCUAAUACAUGCAAGUCGAGCGAACAGACGAGGAGCUUGCUCCUCUGACGUUAGCGGCGGACGGGUGAGUAACACGUGGAUAACCUACCUAUAAGACUGGGAUAACUUCGGGAACCCGGAGCUAAUACCGGAUAAUAUAUUGAACCGCAUGGUUCAAUAGUGAAAGACGGUUUUGCUGUCACUUAUAGAUGGAUCCGCGCCGCAUUAGCUAGUUGGUAAGGUAACGGCUUACCAAGGCAACGAUGCGUAGCCGACCUGAGAGGGUGAUCGGCCACACUGGAACUGAGACACGGUCCAGACUCCUACGGGAGGCAGCAGUAGGGAAUCUUGCGCAAUGGGCGAAAGCCUGACGGAGCAACGCCGCGUGAGUGAUGAAGGUCUUCGGAUCGUAAAACUCUGUUAUUAGGGAAGAACAAAUGUGUAAGUAACUAUGCACGUCUUGACGGUACCUAAUCAGAAAGCCACGGCUAACUACGUG